rnacentral:rRNA from 1 species
AUGCAAGUCGAACGAUUAAACUUCUCUUCGGAGAAGAUAUAAAGUGGCGCACGGGUGAGUAACACGUAGGUAAUGUACCUUUGGGUGGGGAAUAACUUAGGGAAACUUAAGCUAAUACCGCAUAAUUCAGCGGCUUCUUCGGAAGACAGUUGUUAAAGAUUUAUCGCCUAAAGAGCAGCCUGCGGCAGAUUAGCUAGUUGGUAAGGUAACGGCUUACCAAGGCUACGAUCUGUAUCCGACCUGAGAGGGUGGUCGGACACACUGACACUGAAUAACGGGUCAGACUCCUACGGGAGGCAGCAGUCGGGAAUCUUGGGCAAUGGGCGAAAGCCUGACCCAGCAACGCCGCGUGAAGGAUGAAGUCUCUCGGGAUGUAAACUUCGAAAGAAUAGGAAGAAUAAAUGACGGUACUAUUUAUAAGGUCCGGCUAACUACGUGCCAGCAGCCGCGGUAAUACGUAGGGACCAAGCGUUGUUCGGAUUUACUGGGCGUAAAGGGCGCGUAGGCGGCGUGACAAGUCAAUUGUGAAAUCUCCGGGCUUAACUCGGAACGGUCAAUUGAUACUGUUGUGCUAGAGUACAGAAGGGGCAAUCGGAAUUCUUGGUGUAGCGGUGAAAUGCGUAGAUAUCAAGAGGAACACCUGANGUGAAGACGGGUUGCUGGGCUGAUACUGACGCUGAGGCGCGAAAGCUAGGGUAGCAAACGGGAUUAGAUACCCCGGUAGUCCUAGCCCUAAACGAUGAAUACUUGGUGUCUGGAGUUUUAAUUCUCCGGGNGCCGUCGCUAACGU